UACGUAGGGAGCGAGCGUUGUCCGGAAUUACUGGGCGUAAAGGGUGCGUAGGCGGCCAUUUAAGUCUCGUGUGAAAGGUCCCGGCUUAACCGGGGAGCUGCAAGGGAAACUGGAUGGCUUGAGUGCUGGAGAGGGUUGCGGAAUUCCCAGUGUAGCGGUGAAAUGCGUAGAUAUUGGGAAGAACACCAGUGGCGAAGGCGGCAACCUGGACAGUAACUGACGCUGAGGCACGACAGCUGGGGGAGCGAACAGGAUUAGAAACCCCUGUAGUCC
rnacentral:rRNA from 1 species